rnacentral:rRNA from 1 species
UACGUAGGUGGCAAGCGUUGUCCGGAUUUACUGGGCGUAAAGAGCGCGCAGGCGGUCGAUUUAGUCGUGUGUGAAAGCCCCCGGCUCAACUGGGGAGGGUCACGCGAUACUGAUCGACUCGAAGGCAGGAGAGGGUAGUGGAAUUCCCGGUGUAGUGGUGAAAUGCGUAGAUAUCGGGAGGAACACCAGUGGCGAAGGCGACUACCUGGCCUGUUCUUGACG